AUAGCGAGAAAGGACAUACCUGGUCUUGACAUCCACAGAACUUAGCAGAGAUGUUUUGGUGCUUUCGGGAACUGUGAGACAGGUGCUGCAUGGCUGUUGUCAGCUCGUGUUGUGAAAUGUUGGGUUAAGUCCCGCAACGAGCGCAACCUUUAUCUUUUGUUCCCAGCGGUUAGGCCGGGAACUCAAAGGAGACUGCCAGUGAUAAACGGGAGGAAGGUGGGGAUGACGUCAAGUCAUCAUGGCCCUUACGACCAGGGCUACACACGUGUUCCAAUGGCAUAUACAAAGAGAAGCGACCUCGCGAGAGCAAGCGGACCUCAUAAAGUAAGUCGUAGUCCGGAUUGGAGUCUGCAACUGGACUCCAGGAAGUGGGAAUCGCUAGUAAUGGUAGAUCAGAAUGCUGCGGGAAUACGACAA
rnacentral:rRNA from 1 species